rnacentral:rRNA from 1 species
CAGUCGCCGCGGUAAUACAGAGGGUGCGAGCGUUAAUUGGAUUUACUGGGCGUAAAGCGUGCGUAGGCGGCUUCUUAAGUCGGAUGUGAAAUCCCUGAGCUUAACUUAGGAAUUGCAUUCGAUACUGGGAAGCUAGAGUAUGGGAGAGGAUGGUAGAAUUCCAGGUGUAGCGGUGAAAUGCGUAGAGAUCUGGAGGAAUACCGAUGGCGAAGGCAGCCAUCUGGCCUAAUACUGACGCUGAGGUACGAAAGCAUGGGGAGCAAACAGGAUUAGAUACCCCAGUAGUCCCUGUCUCUUAUAC